UACGUAGGGUGCAAGCGUUGUCCGGAAUUAUUGGGCGUAAAGAGCUCGUAGGCGGUUUGUCGCGUCGAAUGUGAAAUCUCAGGGCUCAACUCUGACAUUGCAUUCGAUACGGGCAGGCUAGAGUUCGGUAGGGGAGACUGGAAUUCCUGGUGUAGCGGUGAAAUGCGCAGAUAUCAGGAGGAACACCGGUGGCGAAGGCGGGUCUCUGGGCCGAUACUGACGCUGAGGAGCGAAAGCGUGGGGAGCGAACAGG
rnacentral:rRNA from 1 species